rnacentral:rRNA from 1 species
UAAGCAUAUCAAUAAGCGGAGGAAAAGAAACCAACAGGGAUUGCCCCAGUAACGGCGAGUGAAGCGGCAAAAGCUCAGAUUUGAAAUCUCUUUUAUUUAAUUAAAAGCGAAUUGUAAUCUGUAGAAGGUUGAAUGGCAGAAAAUCUGAAUUAAAUUCCUUGGAAUAGGAUAUCAUAGAGGGUGAGAAUCCCGUGAUUUUCAGAAUUAAUAUGCCAAUUAAUUCACCUUUCGACGAGUCGAGUUGUUUGGGAAUGCAGCUCUAAAUGGGUGGUAAAUUUCAUCUAAAGCUAAAUACCUGCCAGAGACCGAUAGCGAACAAGUAGAGUGAUCGAAAGAUGAAAAGCACUUUGAAAAGAGAGUUAAAAAGCACGUGAAAUUACUGAAAGGGAAGCGCUUGCCAUUAGACUUGAUAAUUAAAUUCGGCCGACCUAUGGGUCCGGUUUACUUUUUAUUUAUCAGGCCAGCAUCAGUUUGGCGAGAUUAAUAAAAUUAAUUGGAAUGUAGCAAUGGCUUCGGUUGUUGUGUUAUAGCCAAUUAAAUAAUUAAUUUAUGCUGGACUGAGGUCUGCUCUUCGGAAAGGAUGCUGGCAUAAUGAUUGUAAGCGACCCGUCUUGAA